GCAAACUGGGCCCUCCAGAUGUUUUGGGACUACAACUCCCAUCAUUCUUUUGGUAACUCUAUAGCAGGCAUAAGCAAACUGGGCCCGCCAGAUGUUUGGGGACUACAACUCCCAUCAUCCUUUCGGUAACUCUAUAGCAGGCAUAGGCAAACUGGGCCCUCCAGAUGUUUUGGGACUACAACUCCCAUCAUCCUUUCAGUAACUCUAUACCAGGCAUAGGCAAAUUCAGCCUUCCAGAUGUUUUGGGACUACAAUUCCCAUCAUAUCCUUUCGGUAACUCUAUAGCAGGCAUAGGCAAACUGGGCCCUCCAGAUGUUUUGGGACUACAACUCCCAUCGUCCUUUUGGUAACUCUAUACCAGGCAUAGGCAAAUUCAGCCUUCCAGAUGUUUGGGGACUACAACUCCCAUCAUUCUUUCGGUAACUCUAUAGCAGGCAUAGGCAAACUGGGCCCUCCAGAUGUUUCGGGACUACAACUCCCAUCGUCCUUUCGGUAACUCUAUAGCAGGCAUAGGCAAACUCAGCCCUCCAGAUGUUUUGGGACUACAACUCCCAUCAUCCGUAGAGCUAUAGAGUUACCGAAAGAUUGAAAGAAAGAAAAAGAAGUGUUUUAUGUAUGCCAACGGAAAGAAGAUUCAGUACCGACAAGGGAGGAAUGGCAGACUAAAUUAAUGGACCAUGCCAAAAAUUAAGGGAUUAAUAGGGAACCAAGAGGUGGGGGAACUUUAUCAAAGACCAGGGGAAAUUCGUGGAUUGUCUGAAAUGUUACUGUUCAUCAGCGGGAUCAAUUUAAACCGAACAGUUAAAAAUUAAUGCUAAAAAGAGAACUAGGCAGU